rnacentral:rRNA from 1 species
UACGUAGGGUGCAAGCGUUAAUCGGAAUUACUGGGCGUAAAGCGUGCGCAGGCGGUUUUGUAAGACUGUCGUGAAAUCCCCGGGCUUAACCUGGGAAUGGCGAUGGUGACUGCAAGGCUAGAGUUUGGCAGAGGGGGGUAGAAUUCCACGUGUAGCAGUGAAAUGCGUAGAGAUGUGGAGGAAUACCGAUGGCGAAGGCAGCCCCCUGGGAUAACGCUGACGCUCAUGCACGAAAGCGUGGGGAGCAAACAGG